UCAAAGGCUGUUUGUUUCCAAGGGAAAAAUUAAUUAUUAUUGAGAUUUGUUUUCUUUUUUGUUUGGCCAGAUUCUGAAGAGGAGAGAGUCUGAAAUAGUCAGUUGUUAUUUUCUUUUUUAGGUUUUUAGGUGGGGUAAAAAUAUAGAGAGGUCAAGAGAUUUGGCGUCAGUUGGGUCAGUUGGGAGGCCUGAAGAAUAGGCUAUCGCUAUAAAGGAACUCUCCUUCAUUUUG
rnacentral:lncRNA from 1 species